UAUGAUUACCCUGAACGGUGGAUCACUUGGCUCGU
rnacentral:rRNA from 1 species